rnacentral:rRNA from 1 species
CCCAGACUCCUACGGGAGGCAGCAGUGAGGAAUAUUGGUCAAUGGCCGAGAGGCUGAACCAGCCAAGUCGCGUGAGGGAUGACGGUCCUAUGGAUUGUAAACCUCUUUUGUCAGGGAGCAAAGGGCGCCACGUGUGGCGUUUUGCGAGUACCUGAAGAAAAAGCAUCGGCUAACUCCGUGCCAGCAGCCGCGGUAAUACGGAGGAUGCGAGCGUUAUCCGGAUUUAUUGGGUUUAAAGGGUGCGUAGGCGGACGCUUAAGUCAGGGGUAAAAUUGGGGGGCUCAACCUCGUCGAGCCGUUGAAACUGGGUGCCUUGAGUGGGCGAGAAGUACGCGGAAUGCGUGGUGUAGCGGUGAAAUGCAUAGAUAUCACGCAGAACUCCGAUUGCGAAGGCAGCGUACCGGCGCCCAACUGACGCUGAAGCACGAAGGCGUGGGCAUCGAACAGGAUUAGAUACCCGAGUAC